AUGUGUGCUUGCCUAGAUUGUAAGGUGAUACCAAGAGAAAGUGUUGUCACUCAACAUAAGCUUGUGGUGGCUGACUUCCACUUUCGGAUUCGUGUCCAGCGGAAUAGGCGCACCAAAGACGCUAGAACGAAGUGGUGGAAGCUCAAGGGGGAGGCAGCUCAGGCUUUCAAGGGCAGGGUUAUUAAGGAGGGCCCUUGGGAGGAAGGAGGUGAUGCAGAUAAUAUGUGGAUGAAGAUGGCGACUUGCAUUCCUAAGGUGGCUUCAGAGUUUGGGGUGAACAGGGGAAGUAGAAUCAAAGCUAACGAUACUUGGUGAUGGAAAUAGAUGUCCAGAAGGCUAUUAACGGUUUCAGACGCCUACACUUGGAUAGGAGUGCAAACAACAUAGAUAAGUACAAGGUGGCAAAGAAGGCCGUAAAGCGAGUUGUGAGUGAAGCAAGGGGUUGGGCAUACGAGGACCUCUACCAGCGCUUAGACACGAAUGAAGGCCAAAGGGACAUCUAUAAGAUAGCCAAGAUCCAAGAGAGCAUCCAAGAGAGCAAGACGAGGGAUGUCAACCAAGUCAAAUGCAUGAAGGACGGAGUAGAUCAGCUCCUGGUGAAGGACGAGGAGAUCACAUAG
rnacentral:rRNA from 1 species